AUUGAACGCUGGCGGCAGGCCUAACACAUGCAAGUCGAACGGUAACAGAAAGCAGCUUGCUGCUUUGCUGACGAGUGGCGGACGGGUGAGUAAUGUCUGGGAAACUUCCUGAUGGAGGGGGAUAACUACUGGAAACGGUAGCUAAUACCGCAUAACGUCGCAAGACCAAAGAGGGGGACCUUCGGGCCUCUUGCCAUCGGAUGUGCCCAGAUGGGAUUAGCUAGUAGGUGGGGUAACGGCUCACCUAGGCGACGAUCCCUAGCUGGUCUGAGAGGAUGACCAGCCACACUGGAACUGAGACACGGUCCAGACUCCUACGGGAGGCAGCAGUGGGGAAUAUUGCACAAUGGGCGCAAGCCUGAUGCAGCCAUGCCGCGUGUAUGAAGAAGGCCUUCGGGUUGUAAAGUACUUUCAGCGGGGAGGAAGGGAGUAAAGUUAAUACCUUGGCUCAUUGACGUUACCCGCAGAAGAAGCACCGGCUAACUCCGUG
rnacentral:rRNA from 1 species